UGGGGAAUCUUGCACAAUGGGGGAAACCCUGAUGCAGCGACGCCGCGUGAGCGAUGAAGGUUUUCGAAUCGUAAAGCUCUGUCCUAUGGGAAGAUAAUGACGGUACCAUGGGAGGAAGCCCCGGCUAACUACGUGCCAGCAGCCGCGGUAAUACGUAGGGGGCGAGCGUUGUCCGGAAUUACUGGGCGUAAAGGGUUCGCAGGCGGCAUGGCAAGUCUGAUGUAAAAGGCGAAGGCUCAACCUUCGUAAGCAUCGGAAACUGUCAAGCUUGAGUGAAGGAGAGGCAAGUGGAAUUCCUAGUGUAGCGGUGGAAUGCGUAGAUAUUAGGAGGAAUACCGGUGGCGAAGGCGACUUGCUGGACUUCAACUGACGCUGAGGAACGAAAGCGUGGGUAGCAAACAGG
rnacentral:rRNA from 1 species